GACGAACGCUGGCGGCGUGCCUAAUACAUGCAAGUAGAACGCUGAAGGAGGAGCUUGCUCUUCUGGAUGAGUUGCGAACGGGUGAGUAACGCGUAGGUAACCUGCCUGGUAGCGGGGGAUAACUAUUGGAAACGAUAGCUAAUACCGCAUAAGAGUAGAUGUUGCAUGACAUUUGCUUAAAAGGUGCAAUUGCAUCACUACCAGAUGGACCUGCGUUGUAUUAGCGAGUUGGUGGGGUAACGGCUCACCAAGGCGACGAUACAUAGCAGACCUGAGAGGGUGAUCGGCCACACUGGGACUGAGACACGGCCCAGACUCCUACGGGAGGCAGCAGUAGGGAAUCUUCGGCAAUGGACGGAAGUCUGACCGAGCAACGCCGCGUGAGUGAAGAAGGUUUUCGGAUCGUAAAGCUCUGUUGUAAGAGAAGAACGAGUGUGAGAGUGGAAAGUUCACACUGUGACGGUAUCUUACCAGAAAGGGACGGCUAACUACGUG
rnacentral:rRNA from 1 species